UCCUUGGGGAGCUGAUGAGAAGUGCAAGAUCCAGACACUCCUAAACUUUGACACGGAUCAGAUCUGGAUCCCAACAAGCAAAACUUCUCACCACGCUGCACCGCAUGCUGCCUCCCUGAAGCACAGGAACCAGUACCGCACUCUUAUCUAGUGUCUUUCAAAUCAGGCGCUCAAAGUGUUGUAUACACAUGAGCUAAUAACGAACGGGCAUAAAGUAAUUUAUAAGAAAUUGACUGCAGUGCUGCUGGCCGCCACUAGGGGCUUCUGGACCCAGCAGAGCCCAGCUCACACAUAGAAGACACUGCAGGGAGGAGCAGGGAGAAGCUGGAGGGGUCCUGGCAACUGCAGUUCCCAACAUGCCCUGAGGGAAGGAGACAGUGGUGCACAGGAAACUCCACACAAGCACAGGACCCAGAAGCAGACUGUUUCCUCUUCUGGAUCCCUGGGCGACUCGAAUUCUCAACAGCAAAUGCAGUUGGUGACAUUACCUAGAAGAAAAUUCUACUCUCAAACCUAGGAAGGCAGCAUUGCCUAGUGGCUAGAGCCCUAGACUGAGACUCAGGAGGCCUGGAUCCUACUCCUGGCUCUGCCACUGACCGGCUGAUGACCUUGGGCAAGUCACUGUCCCUUUGUGCCUCAGUUUACCCAUAUGUAAAAUGGGAGGAUACUGACCUAAUUUGUAAAGCUCUGAGAUCUAUGGAUGAAAAGCGCUACAUAAGAGCUAGAUAUUCUUAUUCCUAGUGCAGC